UACAGAGGUCCCAAGCGUUGUUCGGAUUCAUUGGGCGUAAAGGGUGUGUAGGUGGCGCCGUAAGUCGGGUGUGAAAUUUCGGAGCUUAACUCCGAAACUGCACUUGAUACUGCCUUGCUCGAGUACUGGAGAGGAGAUUGGAAUUUACGGUGUAGCAGUGAAAUGCGUAGAUAUCGUAAGGAAGACCAGUGGCGAAGGCGAAUCUCUGGACAGUUACUGACACUGAGGCACGAAGGCCAGGGGAGCAAACGGG
rnacentral:rRNA from 1 species